rnacentral:lncRNA from 12 species
CCCACCUCCGGGUGCCUGGCCAGGCGAGAAAAGGAAACGUCACUGCAGCUGAGGCUGUGCCUUGCACUGAUCUGUUUGUUUGGCUCUCCUGGCUCCUGGGCAGCACCUUCUGGGUUAGCUGCUGCUUCUGAUGAGUCCUAAAGAGGGAGAAAGACCUUGAGGUGAGGGCUGACUUCCUUCCAAGCUGACCUGUCUAUUCCAAGAAAUGGAAAUUUUCCAUGCUGUACAAAGCAACUGGCCCCACCUUGUUUACAGGGUCUCUUGUGUAACUCCACAUGCUGGGUUUUACAGGACACAAAUAAAAAACAGCGGCAAACCCUCUUCGUUGCCAAGACAACCCCGAAGAAAUACGAAAUCCAGAACAAUACCCUGUGAACGAGGAGCCUCGUAUUCUCUGGUGCACGCCUUCGUUGUGAAUGUCAAGGGAAACACUGCCCUGCCCUCCACAGCGACCCAGGUAAGCCCAGGUGAAGUUACAGGUGAUGUCUGUGAGAUUAUAAUGACUUACAUUUAGAGAUUGUCUUAUGUCCUGGCAGCUACCAAAGCUCAAGGGCUGGCUCCGAGAGCUGGGCACUGUAUUCCUGCAGUGCAGCGUUACCCAAGGCUGGCCAGGCAGCACCAGGAGGAUUCCUGAGGCUGUCAUGCAUGUCAGGGUUGGG